UUUGGAAACGUCACGCACGUCCAUCACCCUCGUUCCUCGAGCUGGCGCCCGCCGUCGGCCACCCGGCGCCCUCGUCGCCUCGGCGGCGUCCACCGUCGCGCUGACGCUGGCCCUAGCCCACGCCUCCGCGGGCCUCCUCUUCUUCCUGCUCUGCCUUUCGCCCUCCUCCCCGUCCCCGAACCCACAUCCGCACCGCCGCCUACGCCUUCGCUCAGGAGCCCGCCAACGCGCGGCGCUCCAGAUCCCAUUCGACCCAGUCAUCGCGGACCCCGAACGCCGCCUCGAGGACCACAAGUGGGAGCGUCUCGCCGCCGCAGGGCCGCAUGCCCGGGGCAUGGAGGCGGCGCCCGUCCCCGAUGGCCUCACCGAUGCCGACGGCGAGGCCGACGAGGACUACAUCAACGACGUAGCACGAUUCAACGUUACGCGCCGCGUGGAGGCUCUGUUCCCAAAGAUUGACGUCGACCCCUUCGACGGGCCAUCACGGGCGCCGAGCUGGCCGCCUAGAACUCGCGUCCGUGCGGCGGGAGGUGCUACACUGGACCGCCCAGGAGCUCGAUCGCCUUCAUCCGCGAGCUCGAUUCGCUCACUGGUUGCUCGAUUUGGCCGCGUCGACGCCUAUUCUGUAGGUGAAAUUCAGCCCCGAUGAUUGUCGUUGGCAGGCAAAUUUUGCCACUUGGAUCGAAUUGGGCUUAAUCUGAUUCGACAUCAGCAUCAAAUCACCGCCAUGUAAGCUCCUCAUCUCCACUACACUUGUGAUUUUAGUAUAUUUUGUUCUAAACACAUCAACCACGAGUUGUUAAACAUGGAAGAUCAGGAUGCGGUAACGUCCAUUGGGCAGCACAAGUAGAGGGAUCAAUAUUGAAAUCUCAUCGGCCAGUUACGCUUUCUUGACCAAUUUCUUCGCUUGUUGGAACAAUGGGUUCUAGAUUUGUCUGCCCAUGACGUGUUUGUUGAGAUGCCUCAGAGAGAGUGACUUCUCUUUCCCAAUUCGCUCAAGUGCUUUCAUAUUGUGCUCUCUGAAUUAACACCAGGUUACUUUGGAGGAUGUAGUGAUUUCAGUUAGGUUUAAGUCUUCCGUAUUUCAGUUUAGACCAUGAACAAAAAUAGUUUUCAGUUUAGACCUUGAACAAAAAUAGUUUUCAGUUUAGACCUUGAACAGAAAUCUUUCUUUUAUCCGAUGAGACAAGAUGCUUUCAUUGUAAUAUAGAUACAAUAUUAUAAUUUAUUGAGCAAGAGAAACUCCUAGAAUGCUAUCAAAUUGAUGGAUGCUUGUCGCAAUAAAGAUAGUUUUCAGUCUUUACAAAGUUACAGAGUUGUUAACGUUCUACAAUGUAUCCAAUUAAUUGAUCAAAACCAUUUUUCAGUUUAUUUUGCCAAGCUGAUCAACUCACCAACCACCCAUGAAUCACCUUUAGCAAGGUUGUUUUUCUUUUCAUGAUUCAAUGGACAUGGAAACACUCAUAUGAAGAAUGACAUAUACAGAUCUUUGCCUGGUAAACAGAGAUUUGCCCGAUAAGCAAAUCUAUUUGCUGCAGGUGCUACUUCAUUUUCUUAUUGUCUUCAUGAGACGAUUGCUGGCAGAAAUUCUUAUUCACACCACUAAAUCUGUGUUCUCUAGCUAGCCAUAAGGUACUUUUAUGUGAUCAAUCAGUGGUUUGUACGAGUAAAGGAGGUUCCUUUCCAUAGCCCCUUGCAUUGUAUCUUUGUUAUUUAUAACAGUUCUACGAAACUUUCUUGUACUUCUUGAUGCCUAUUUGGAAUAACUAUAGAAUUUAUGUAAGCAGAAGACACCAUCACAAUUGACUUGCUUAUAGACCAGUUAACUCUUCUAACAGAUAGUCAUUUCAUGCUAUAGAUAUCUUCCUGACAAAGUUAUUUAUCAAUAUUAAUAAUCAAUGUAAAUUUGUUGAAUCUUUAGUUUCAGGUGGGUGUGCAUAACUUAUUGUGCUUUUGCAGCACUGUUCUUAAUAGAUGAGAGCUACAGCUUGUAAGUUGUAACAUUCUGCUUUAAGAAGAUAACUCAUGUAUAGGUGCGAGAACUCUCUUUUAUAUAUGAGAGCUGUUGGUAAUAGCUCCGUAUCCAACUUUUCCAUAGCUCUAAAGGCAAAUUUAAUUUGGAGAUGUAUACAGUGAUUCAGUAUUCCAAAUAAGUGUUGUUGUUGUGAACCACUUCAAUGUGUUAACUUAUAGGGUCUUCUUUUGGCUUAGGCUGACUGCAGACUAUUUUGUUUUGAUCUCCACUAUUGUUUACUGAAACGAGUGCAAGAUUCAUGGUUAAAAAGUUGCACCUAUUCCUGACAAGUUGAACGAUGGUUUCUCAAGAUAUAUACUAUUGCCUUGGUACUAAUUUGACAUGCUGACUGUAACCGUAGUGCUGGCAAAUGCUAUGGAUGGAGUCAGUAACCAAGUCAAUAAGGAUCCACAUGCAUGCCUAUGAAUGUAAUUAGCACUCUGCAUCAUUCCGGUGAGUCUGAUGAUCCAGUGACUGAGUUGUACAGAACAAUGAGUGUAUAUACAUGAAUUUUGUGUCCCUAAAGUAUUCUGUUUUGCCAAGCAUUAAAAUGAAGGAGUUCUACAAUCUGUGAUUGGGUACGUGCCAUAAACUACUCAUCUAUCAAUAAUCCCUUAUAUAGUAAUUAGACAUCAUCUAUCAUGCAUCCAGUUAAUUUCCACCUUACUUUGUUCUCCCGAAGAGAUAAUGAUACCCACUUCCUAUUUCCAUUUUUUAUUCUGCAAAAGCACUGAGAAACCUUUGAAUCAGAUGAUGUGGCUAUGCCUAUAGCCACAUUCUCUAUGGUCGAAGAGAAAAAUAGCUAAAUAUCUGGUAGUCAGUUCCUUUACAGAAAACACUUCAAUUUAUGUGGGGUUCAUGAAAGAUUUGUGCAUAUUCCAAACAGAUGCCUCGAAGGCCAAGAGUUCCAUUUUUCAUUACAGUUUUUGGAUCUAGCUGUUUGUUUAAGCAGUUUUUAUCCUUAAAAGAUGUUAGAGAUGUACUUAUUUUUCUUAGAGUAAGAUCAUUUUAAUAUAUAAUUAUAAAAUUUUACAGCUUGGUAGCUCUUAAGUAACCUACUUUAUUUCUGCUCCGUCAGGUGCGCCGGAUAUACAUGGUAAAUCUCUGUGUUGUAAACUGUUGCUGCUAUGAGUUAUGUUAAUCCUUAUCUUUAAUUUCUGAAUAUACCAGUCAACACAUCUGUUGCAUGGGUACAUAUAUGAGUCAGUCUAUGAGAUCGCAAAUAUGUUUAUCCUUUUUGACAAAUGACUACUGAAUUUUACUUUCUCAUGCAGGUUAGUAUUCCUACUGAUACUGAACAAUACUCAGUAGUCAUUUACUUGCCAUCUAGCACUCUAUGUGAUUAAUUCAGGCCAAAUUUGCUGUCAGAAAAGUAGAGGUGAAGAGCAAAGAUGGUCUUGACGAUGUUCCUAGGCUCAGGUCGUCAUAACACUGAUGUUCCACUAUCAAGCAAAAUUUGUACUAGAACACGCGGGAGAAGGGCACGGCAAAGCCCAAGAGAUCAAUCCACGUCAGCGAUGUCGCAGCGGACGGUUCCCCCACGCCGGCCGGCCGACCGAGAGCAGAGCCCGUGGAUUUCCGCCCGCCGGCCGCCGCGCGCGCCAACGUGCUUUCGCGCACGUACGUCAGCUGCUUGCGCGACCGCACACAAGCGUCAUGCACGCGUCCACGUGAGACCGUGUCCUGUACUCAAAUACACGUACGCACGCUACGUACAGCUCCAUUGAACUAGUACUUCCUACAAUACUAUGCUCAUUCGACGAGAGCUGGUGCCAGGUCGCAUUUGCACGAUAAAGAGCCCGCCAGAAUAUA